rnacentral:rRNA from 1 species
AUUGAACGCUGGCGGCAGGCCUAACACAUGCAAGUCGAACGAGUGGCGGACUGGUGAGUAAUGUCUGGGACACUGCCUGCUCGAGGGGGAUAACUACUGGAACAGGUAGCUAAUACCGCAUACCCUCAGAUGUGCCCAGAGGGGAUUAGCUUGUUGGUGGGGUAACGGCUACCCAAGGCGACGAUCCCUAGCUGGUCGGAGAGGCUGACCAGCCACAAUGGAAGUGAGACACGGCCCAGACUCCUACGUGAGGCAGCAGGUGGGAAUAUUGCACAAUGGGCGAAAGUCGGAAACAGCCAGGCCGCGUGUAUGAAGAAGGCUUUCGGAUCGUAAAGUACUUUUAGCGGGGAGGCGGUACCCGCAGAAGAAGCAACGGCUAACUACGUGCCAGCAGCCGCGGUAAUUC